rnacentral:rRNA from 1 species
GAAGGCAGUCCAACCGUGGCGAUGGUAGACCACGGCUAAGGGUGUAGGACGAGCGGACAGGCAAAUCCGCCGCUCAUGUGUCUGAGACCUGAUGGGGACCCCGUAGGGGGGAAGUGGAUGAUCCUAUGCUGUCGAGAAAAACCUCUAGCGAGCUAUGCGCCGCCCGUACCCCAAACCGACUCAGGUGAUCAGGUAGAGAAUACCAAGGCGAUCGAGACAACCAUGGUUAAGGAACUCGGCAAAAUGCCCCCGUAACUUCGGGAGAAGGGGGGCCGGAUCCGUGAGAGGACUUGCUCCUCAAAGCGGUGAUGGCCGCAGAGACCAGGCCCAAGCGACUGUUUACUAAAAACACAGGUCCGUGCGAAGUUGUAAGACGAUGUAUACGGACUGACUCCUGCCCGGUGCUGGAAGGUUAAGGGGACCGGUUAGAG